rnacentral:ncRNA from 1 species
GCCCGUCGCUACUACCGAUUGGAUGAUGUAGUGAGGUGUUUUGACUGGCGCCAGUAGUCGGAUAUGUAUUCGGCUUCGCGCCGGGAAAUUUCCCAAACCAAAUCAUUUAGAAGAAGUAAGUCGUAACA